ACGGGUGAGUAAUGCCUAGGAAUCUGCCUGGUAGUGGGGGACAACGUUUCGAAAGGAACGCUAAUACCGCAUACGUCCUACGGGAGAAAGCAGGGGACCUUCGGGCCUUGCGCUAUCAGAUGAGCCUAGGUCGGAUUAGCUAGUUGGUGAGGUAAUGGCUCACCAAGGCGACGAUCCGUAACUGGUCUGAGAGGAUGAUCAGUCACACUGGAACUGAGACACGGUCCAGACUCCUACGGGAGGCAGCAGUGGGGAAUAUUGGACAAUGGGCGAAAGCCUGAUCCAGCCAUGCCGCGUGUGUGAAGAAGGUCUUCGGAUUGUAAAGCACUUUAAGUUGGGAGGAAGGGCAGUAAGCGAAUACCUUGCUGUUUUGACGUUACCGACAGAAUAAGCACCGGCUAACUCUGUGCCAGCAGCCGCGGUAAUACAGAGGGUGCAAGCGUUAAUCGGAAUUACUGGGCGUAAAGCGCGCGUAGGUGGUUUGUUAAGUUGAAUGUGAAAGCCCCGGGCUCAACCUGGGAACUGCAUCCAAAACUGGCAAGCUAGAGUAUGGUAGAGGGUGGUGGAAUUUCCUGUGUAGCGGUG
rnacentral:rRNA from 2 species